UCGUUCCUAAGGAGAGAUUGUUCAGUGUUAUCCAUGGAGUAGGUGUUGGGCGAUAUUCCUCUGCACCCCCCUUUCACCCCGGAGCUCGGCAAUGAAAGGGUGCGUGAGGAGCUGCCUUGCAGAUGGUCUCCUGCCUGGGUCUCUCUGCAGGCACUCGCUGAUGAAGAAGCGGAACUCGUCACUCCUGGAAAAAAAAACGGUGGUAAAAUGAUAAUUGUUUGUGUUACAUUUCCCAGAGUUCACAGUGUGACGACUCCCUGAUCCUGCCGCUCUGUACCCAACCCAAUCACAGCACAGGCAGCAAUAGGGGGUGAGCCCCUUCCCUUCUAAGGGUUCCACUGCUCUGCCUGAAAUGGGGGGCUAUUGCACUUACUUAUGAACCCUGAAUUAUAAGGGUACAUUUACCUGUGACCAAAUUACUGUCUCUCUGGUUUUGCCUAUAUCUUAGCCCGGCUUGUAUUGGCUGCCAGAUACCGGCCCCAAGAGCUCAAGCUCAGCACAAGAGUCUGCGUUUGCGCAUAGAGCUACACAUAUUACGCAUCACCUUCACCCUUAUUUCAGCCCGGACUGGGAUACAAAAUAGGCCCUGGCAUUUCAUAUCCACAGAGGCCAAAACAGCCCCCCAGCCCAAUAAAUAGCCACUGCCUAUGGCAUCUCACAGCAUUUACCUGCCCUCACUUAUUUCCCAUUUAUCCCUUCCCCAUCCUUACUUUAUGUCAUAUCCCAAUGUCCCCCUCACCAUAAAGUCUACCUU